AAUUACUUAAUUAACACACACACACACACAUAUAUAUAUAAGCAAUAUAAUGAAUUACAAUUUGCCACGUUGAAGUCCUUUGAGGAAGUGGAUGCUUUCGUGGAAUUUGAGGAACAAGGCCAGCAUGAAAACGCGAUGAAGAUCCCAUUUUGCAAAUAUGUUUGUUUUAGAGGCAACUCUAAUUUAAGGUUGUCGUAAUUUUUCGUAUUAUACAUAACAAGUGCCUAAUUAACCAUAGAUCUCCUAUAUAUGCAGCUGUAUGCCACAAUAUCGAGUGGAUCAAUCGCCAUUAGACGAAGCCCAUACCAUGGGGAAGACCUUGCAAAACAAGAUUGAGAAAGCCGCAGAAGUUGAACGAGCAUUCGUUCAUAUAUACUGACUUGGCCACAAGCUACCCAGCAGUCAGCCAUGAUUGUUUCAACUCUUAUUACUUCUAAGUCACCCAUGUAACUGUUACUAGGGCAAAGCCCAAAGAAAGCUACGUGAAACCAUUCGGACAAGUCUCGAGAGACUUAUAGGUACUAUAACUUAAUAAUUUAGAAAGUUAAGCAAUUUUUUUAUAUUUAUGAACACGGUGUUAGAGCCUGCGUCUAACUUUGAAUCCUGGUUCAUAACCAUCCUGUAAAUCAAUCAAGUACGUUAAUUGCACUACACGAAAAAUAUUUUUUGUCUUCGAACAAUUGUUAUCCAAAAAAAUGAACUUGUAGUAACAUGUAAUCCAUUUUUAAUACAUUAAUUACAUGCUAAGAUAAAGACCCUUUUCGAAAAGAAAGAAAGGAGAGAAAAGAUGGCAAGCACGCAAACUUAGUGCAAAACUGCAAACGUGUUAGGGGUCUUGUUGUUUUGGUUGCUAGACAUCAAGUUACUUUUGGCAGGAGCGUAAUGGUUUUCAUAUUUGGUCAUAUGGAUUUAAGUUGAAAUCUUUAAAAGACACGCAGUAAAACAGAGACAGAAUAAAAUGCUCUACUUCAUUUCAUUGUAUAUGCACAGUUCAAUUCUUGCUGGCCAAAAUGUGUUGAACCAGACGGCUGCAUGUUUAUCUCCAUUGUACCGUUGAUCUUAUCCUCACUUCUCAUUGGCAUUCUCGGUACUUUGCUGAGUCACUUGCCACGUCUGCCAUAUCAGGUUACAUGUCACUUGUCUAGUCAGGUGCUUGUUAGGAGCUGCUUCACUGUGUCAAUUCAUCAAGCAUUUAGUUUACUUCAUCAAACACCUUCAUCAGGAAAAGUCAUUUGUACUCGGGUCGAAUAUUUGAACUCUAAAAAAUAAUGAAAUACCCAGCAACAUACUUUCCAAUGAAACGUUUUAUUACUAAAAUAAUAACUCCAAAAUAACAAAAGGUUUUUACUAAAUUGUAAAACAUAUUCAACCUACGCACGUCGUUUUUUUUUUUUUCAGAAGAUCGUCGAGAUUACAUUACAUGAUAAGCAGAUAAUGAUUUAUUGAACGCCGCAGCAGAAAAUAUGGCGCUCUAUUUUGUAAGGAAAGCAACAGUCUUAGCCGUUAAUAUUAUUGAUUGCAUGCUAAAGGCCAAGCCUGUUUUACACAAGGUAGCAAAAUGCUCACAGUUACUUACCAGUAGAUUGUAGCCAGCACAAAAAUCUUUCCUUUGUAGUUUGCUAGUGGCAAAUUCAAUAACUUCCUCCGGUGACUUUAUACAACCACCAUACUGUAUGACAUACUGACGUACAAUGCUACACUCAUAAUCAUAGACAUACAAUGAGUGGCCAUCCAAGAAGCAAUCAAGACACGUUUUGAUGGUUCCACAAUUAAACCCUUUCUGGCACCCUUUUGCUACAUGCAUGACUUUUCAACACUUCCUUUACUAGCUAGUAGCCAACCCUUGGUGUAUAAAUGAAUACCCAUUCAUGCAAACUCUCUGUUGCAGCAACCUUGGUUUUGUUCUUCUUCUUCUUUAUGCUCUUUUCUUCUCUCCUCUGCUUCUUGCAAUUACUUAAUUAACACACACACACACACAUAUAUAUAUAAGCAAUAUAAUGAAUUACAAUUUGCCACGUUGAAGUCCUUUGAGGAAGUGGAUGCUUUCGUGGAAUUUGAGGAACAAGGCCAGCAUGAAAACGCGAUGAAGAUCCCAUUUUGCAAAUAUGUUUGUUUUAGAGGCAACUCUAAUUUAAGGUUGUCGUAAUUUUUCGUAUUAUACAUAACAAGUGCCUAAUUAACCAUAGAUCUCCUAUAUAUGCAGCUGUAUGCCACAAUAUCGAGUGGAUCAAUCGCCAUUAGACGAAGCCCAUACCAUGGGGAAGACCUUGCAAAACAAGAUUGAGAAAGCCGCAGAAGUUGAACGAGCAUUCGUUCAUAUAUACUGACUUGGCCACAAGCUACCCAGCAGUCAGCCAUGAUUGUUUCAACUCUUAUUACUUCUAAGUCACCCAUGUAACUGUUACUAGGGCAAAGCCCAAAGAAAGCUACGUGAAACCAUUCGGACAAGUCUCGAGAGACUUAUAGGUACUAUAACUUAAUAAUUUAGAAAGUUAAGCAAUUUUUUUAUAUUUAUGAACACGGUGUUAGAGCCUGCGUCUAACUUUGAAUCCUGGUUCAUAACCAUCCUGUAAAUCAAUCAAGUACGUUAAUUGCACUACACGAAAAAUAUUUUUUGUCUUCGAACAAUUGUUAUCCAAAAAAAUGAACUUGUAGUAACAUGUAAUCCAUUUUUAAUAC
rnacentral:lncRNA from 1 species